CAUAGGUUAAUGAGGCGAACCGGGGGAACUGAAACAUCUAAGUACCCCGAGGAAAAGAAAUCAACCGAGAUUCCCCCAGUAGCGGCGAGCGAACGGGGAGGAGCCCAGAGCCUGAAUCAGCAUGUGUGUUAGUGGAAGCGUCUGGAAAGGCGCGCGAUACAGGGUGACAGCCCCGUACACAAAAGCGCAUGUGCUGUGAGCUCGAUGAGUAGGGCGGGACACGUGGUAUCCUGUCUGAAUAUGGGGGGACCAUCCUCCAAGGCUAAAUACUCCUGACUGACCGAUAGUGAACCAGUACCGUGAGGGAAAGGCGAAAAGAACCCCGGCGAGGGGAGUGAAAAAGAACCUGAAACCGUGUACGUACAAGCAGUGGGAGCCCCACCACUAAGCCAGUGGUGAACUCCACAUACGCAUCCUUUGCUGAGGAUACGGUUAA
rnacentral:rRNA from 1 species